GUGUCAGCAGCCGCGGUAAUACGGGUGAGGCAAGCGUUGUUCGGAAUCAUUGGGCUUAAAGCGCGUGUAGGCGGCGGCGUAAGUACUUUGUGAAAUCCCUUCUCUCAAUGGAGGAAUUGCUUGGUAUACUGCGUUGCUUGAGGUAGGUAGGGGUGCUUGGAACUCUAGGUGGAGCGGUGAAAUGCGUAGAUAUCUAGAGGAACGCCAGUGGCGAAAGCGGAGCACUGGGCCUAUCCUGACGCUGAGACGCGAAAGCGUGGGUAGCAAACGGGAUUAGAAACCCGAGUAGUCC
rnacentral:rRNA from 1 species